UUAAGUAGAGGAGUCUCUGAAUUUCAACAUGUUUCUUUGUAUUUUUCUUUCUCUUUAUGCCAACUUUUUUUGCAGAAUUUCUAAGGAUCUUGGUUGCUGUCUUAAAUGACACAUUCAGUCUUUGCUCAGUUGUCGUCUCCUUAUAGAAACCAAUCUAAACAUUUCCAGAGCAAGGAGAAAAAACCUCUAGGAUAAUAUUAUGGAGAAUUUCACACAAUGGCAAUCUGUUAGGAAAGCCCAAUCUGCAUUAAGGUGAAUGGAACCUGAAAAGAAUUGUUGGAAGUCACUUCACAAAGGAAAGCUGCUGUUCACAAGAGGAGAGAAUUUGAAACCCAGGAACAUUCUCACUACAUGCACAGCCAUCUCACCCUCAGGCAUUGGACAACACACAGCCCAAGGUGUGACCCUUGAAUGAAGAGAAACAUAUAAGGUAAGCUCCAUAUUUGUGUGAACUUUGUGCUGGGGAGAAUCUCUGAACAUGGAGAGACGAAGCCCAAACACAGAGUGGUGAUUUUGCUGGGCAGAGGAAACAAAGAUAAGAGAUUAGAUCUGAGAUAGUCACUGAAAUUUUCAGGGAAAGGAGUUGGAGCAGAGGGAAUUGUACAGAGAAGUAGACCCAGAAGGCUGUGCCAGGUUCCGUUGCAUCUCUGUCUGAGUACUAAGCAUUGAGUGCAUAAGACCAGGUCCUUUGGGAUGUGACAGAGAAAAGCUACUGGGAAGCUGUGAACUUAUUGUAGAUGUAAUAGUUCCCACAGUGCGAGGUGAUAUUAAAAUUCCAACCAGCUAGAGUGGAGGGAAAUUACUAAGUAAUCCAGGCAUUUAUUUGAAAUUCCAGAGAAGCCACAUUUUAAAAUUAUAGUUGAUUUGUAGUGUUGUACCAAUUUAUGCUGUACAGCAAAGUGACUCAGUCAUACGUAUACAUAAAUUCCUUUUUAAAUAUUAUUUCCCAUCAUGGUUUAUCCCAGGAGAUUGGGUAAAGUUCCCUGUGCUAUACUCUGGGACCUUAUUGUUUAUCCAUUCUAAAUGUAAUAGUUUGCAUCUACUAACCACAAAUGCCUGGUCCAUCCCGCUCUAUCCCUCCUCCCCUUGGCAACCACGAAUCUGAUCUCUAUGUCUGUGAGU
rnacentral:lncRNA from 1 species